rnacentral:lncRNA from 1 species
AAUCCUGGUGUGGCCAGACCCAAGCUGGGGCUCCAAGACGUGACCCACAAUGUUGGGAAGCUUGCUGGCCACCCUGGCUGUUUUUCCCACUGGAGAAACCAAGGCCAAAGGGAGGGGUGGUGCAGAAGGGUGCUUCAGCCUCCCCUUUGUGUUCCAGAAUUCUCUCAGUGGUCUUUUCCUUGUAUACUUGUUUUUGUGACGGGGAGCAAAGUCAGGAAUGACCUGUGUCACCAUCUUGGUGAUAUCACCUGUCACCAUUUUGUUUUAUUGGUUAGGUGUGGAAAUGCAUUUUGGACAUCUCAAACACUUCAUCUUGUGUGCAAGGAGACAUACGUGAAGGCCGCCAGCACAGAGUUGAAGGUGUUCCAUGAGAGGCAGAGGCUUCUAGGACCCGCGUCUACACUAACUGAACCUUGGAUCAUGUGUCCCUGUGCUGUCCGGGAGUGUCAUGUCAAGUUCCCAAUUCCAAAAGAUCUACCGUAUUCCUGCUCAAUAGACAGAUGGAAAAGAUUGUUUCUCCACCUGCCACGAAGUGGGUGUUUCACCAGCCCGGCACUCACACUAGACUGAUGUGUGAUAGAGGCUGUGGCAAAGUCUUGAAGGGAUCAAAACUGGGCAAGGUGUUUUCAAGCCUGAAACAGAAAGAACAAAUGUGAGGGUGAGUCUGCCUUUCCCCGGGAAACCCCUGGGGGCGUCCCAACACUCACAGGUGUGGAGGCACACAGAGCACGACCUCUCACCAGAGCAGCCAUGUUCUCACCGUAGACCCAGACACAUGGGCAGGACAGACUUCCCUCUUACCAGAAACUUUUCAAGACCUCCUUCCCCCACACUAGGAAGUGUUCAUGGGUGUUUUGCUUUGUGGCCCAGGAAAAAAAAAAAAAAAGUGGCUUGAAUCAUCCCGAGACUUUGCCACUUGCAGAGUCCCAGUGUGGCCCCACGGUUUUCUUCACUGUUGUAAAGGCUGCACUGUGAAACCUCUACUAUUACUCUGUCCCCAUUUUCUUCCCAUCUUCCCAACACGUCAGACCCAAAUUUGGAGGUAGAAAAGGUCUUACAAAGGUCUAGGCAGAAGUAACUCCAUAGAAACUAGGACUGUCCACAGGGAAAGGCUUAUUUGUGUGGCGGAGAAAGCUGUCGAGAAAAGAGCACUGUAACCAAGAGCCCAUCCGACCAUCCUAAGUCAGGCUUCUUUGGAAAGAUGCGCAUUCAGCAGGAAAUCCUGAAGCGAGAGACCUCCCGUGAACACGCCAACAGCCUGAACUGGACGAUUUUAGGAAAUCUGAGCCAGGUCUGUAGCACUGGGGCACCCACACUGUGACCCGGGAGAUUGUGGCAUAGCCUGUGUGCGGGUGACGGCAGAAAU